rnacentral:lncRNA from 8 species
AAUAAGUUGAAUACAGUCAAGUAGUCCUAGUGAUGGUGCACUGGAGGUACGGCGGGCUGUAUAUGUGUGAGUGUGUGUCUGUGUCAGAGUGUGUGUGUGUGAGAACCUAACUAAUCACGCUCCGUGUUGUGUAGGACAGCUGCUCACAGAGAAGCGGGCUCCUCAUUAUCUCUACAGAAGUGAGAAGACUGGCGUUCCAAUAAUCUAUCAGAUCCUUGUCGUCCCAUCUCCUCCUCUCUAUCCUCUCUAUCUCCUCCUCUCUAUCCCGUCAACCCCUGGCCACCUCGAGACUCUACACCCCACUCCACCCUGUCCCCCCGUCUCCAGACUCUACACCCCACUUCACCCUGUCCCCCCGUCUCCAGACUCUACACCCCACUUCACCCUGUCCCCCCCGUCUCCAGACUCUACACCCCACUUCACCCUGUCCCCCCCGUCUCCAGACUCUACACCCCACUUCCCCCUUUCCCCCCCGUCUCCAGACUCUACACCCCACUUCACCCUGUCCCCCCGUCUCCAGACUCUACACCCCACUUCACCCUGUCCCCUGUCUCCAGACUCUACACCCCACUUCACCCUGUCCCCCCGUCUCCAGACUCUACACCCCACUUCACCCUGUCCCCCCGUCUCCAGACUCUACACCCCACUUCACCCUGUCCCCCCGUCUCCAGACUCCACACCCCACUUCACCCUGUCCCCCCCGUCUCCAGACUCUACACCCCACUUCACCCUGUCCCCCCCGUCUCCAGACUCUACACCCCACUUCACCCUGUCCCCCCCGUCUCCAGACUCUACACCCCACUUCACCCUGUCCCCCGUCUCCAGACUCUACACCCCACUUCACCCUGUCCCCUCGUCUCCAGACUCUACACCCCACUUCACCCUGUCCCCCCGUCUCCAGACUCUACACCCCACUUCACCCUGUCCCCUCGUCUCCAGACUCUACACUCUACCUACCCCUGUUGCCUACCCCUGCUACCUACCCCUGUUGCCUACCCCUGUUACCUGCCCCUGUUGCCUGCCCCUGUUGCCUGCCCCUGUUACCUACCCCUGCUGCCUACCCCUGUUGCCUACCCCUGUUGCCUACCCCUGUUACCUAACCCUGCAAACUACCCCUGUUACCUACCCCUGUUACCUACCCCUGUUACCUACCCUGCUACCUACCCCUGUUACCUACCCCUGUUACCUACCCCUGCUACCUACCCCUGCUACCUACCCCUGUUACCUACCCCUGCUACCUACCCCUGUCACCUACCCCUAUUACCUACCCCUGUUACCUACCCCUGCUCUACAGUAUGAGAAGACUGCAGCAUCGUCAUCACUACUACCUGAGACAAAAAGAGGAGCUGCAGUCCAGCCAGAGAUGGAGUGAUAUCUGAAGAAUAGAGAGAUGUAGAAGUUGAUACUGUAGAUCAACACAGAGAGAGAGGGGGGGGGAGACUAACAUCAGGGUGUCAGGUUGAUAGUGUUUAGGGACAUGGUCAGAUAACUCCACAUCGCUAGGUAACAUCUGACAGCCUAUUUGCUGACAUUAUUGCUGUGAAAAUGUGCCAAAUCUAACUGUGUAGCAGUCCAAUUAUCAGUCUUAUUCAGCAGUUGUGAAGCU